rnacentral:snRNA from 1 species
AUCGCUUCUCGGCCUUUUGGCUAGAUCAAGUGUAGUAUCUGUUCUUAUCAGUUUAAUAUCUGAUACGUCCCCUAAUCUGGGGACCAUAUAUUAAAUGGAUUUUUGGAACAGGGAGAUGGAAGAAGAGCUUGCUCUGUCCACUCCACGCAUCGACCUGGUAUUGCAGUACCUCCAGGACCGGUGCACCUCUC